UACGGAGGGAGCUAGCGUUGUUCGGAUAUACUGGGCGUAAAGCGCACGUAGGCGGCGCCGUAAGUCAGGGGUGAAAUCCCGGAGCUCAACUCCGGAACUGCGCUUGAAACUGCAGUGCUAGAAUCUUGGAGAGGCGAGUGGAAUUCCGAGUGUAGAGGUGAAAUUCGUAGAUAUUCGGAAGAACACCAGUGGCGAAGGCGACUCGCUGGACAAGUAUUGACGCUGAGGUGCGAAAGCGUGGGGAGCGAACAGG
rnacentral:rRNA from 1 species